GGAAGUAAAAGUCGUAACAAGGUUUCCGUAGGUGAACCUGCGGAAGGAUCAUUAACGAGUUUUGAAACGGGUUGUAGCUGGCCUUCCGAGGCAUGUGCACGCCCUGCUCAUCCACUCUACCCCUGUGCACUUACUGUAGGUUGGCGUGGGCUCCUUAACGGGAGCAUUCUGCCGGCCUAUGUAUACUACAAACACUUUAAAGUAUCAGAAUGUAAACGCGUCUAACGCAUCUAUAAUACAACUUUUAGCAACGGAUCUCUUGGCUCUCGCAUCGAUGAAGAACGCAGCGAAAUGCGAUAAGUAAUGUGAAUUGCAGAAUUCAGUGAAUCAUCGAAUCUUUGAACGCACCUUGCGCUCCUUGGUAUUCCGAGGAGCAUGCCUGUUUGAGUGUCAUGGAAUUCUCAACUUAUAAAUCCUUGUGAUCUAUAAGCUUGGACUUGGAGGCUUGCUGGCCCUUGUUGGUCGGCUCCUCUUGAAUGCAUUAGCUUGAUUCCGUACGGAUCGGCUCUCAGUGUGAUAAUUGUCUACGCUGUGACCGUGAAGUGUUUUGGCGAGCUUCUAACCGUCCAUUAGGACAACUUUUUAACAUCUGACCUCAAAUCAGGUAGGACUACCCGCUGAACUUAAGCAUAUCAAUAAGCGGAGGA
rnacentral:rRNA from 1 species